GAUGGGACAAACAAUUUCCCCAAAAACACAAAGUUUUGGUCCUAAACUUGCCGAUGUUUUUUAUCAAAAUUAUACAUGCAAGCAUCCGCACACCAGUGAGAAUGCCCUACAAAGUACAAAGGAGCAGGUAUCAGGCACAACCAGUUAGCCCAAAACACCUUGCUAUGCCACACCCACACGGGCACCCAGCAGUAAUAAAUAUUAAGCAAUGAGUGAGCAACCAACACAAGCUCGACUUAGUUAUGAACAAAAGGGCCGGUCAACCUCGUGCCAGCCACCGCGGUUAUACGAGGGGCCCAAAACAUCGGACACCGGCGUAAAUUAUGGCUAGAGAAAACCACUUACAUUAAAGGAAAGUAAAAACAAGCCCAACCGUAAAACCUGGGCCAAAAGAAGCCCACUAUUCCAAACUGUAAAGUUACUUGAACCCAUGAAGACUAAGAAACAAACUAGGAUUAGAUACCCUACUAUGCUUAGUUGUUAACACGACAUUAAACAACACUAACAUGUCCGCCAGAGGAUUACACGCGAAAAGCUUAAAACUCAAAGGACUUGGCGGUGCUCCGUAUUCGCCUUAGAGGAGCCUGUCCUAUAAUCGAUACUCCACGCUUUACCUCACCAUCUUUUGUUAUAACAGCCUAUAUACCGCCGUCGCAAACUUACCC
rnacentral:rRNA from 1 species